UACGUAUGGAGCAAGCGUUAUCCGGAUUUACUGGGUGUAAAGGGAGCGCAGGCGAUCUGGCAAGUCUGAUGUGAAAGGCCGGGGCUCAACCCCGGGACUGCAUUGGAAACUGUCAGACUGGAGUGUCGGAGAGGUAAGCGGAAUUCCUAGUGUAGCGGUGAAAUGCGUAGAUAUUAGGAGGAACACCAGUGGCGAAGGCGGCUUACUGGACGAUGACUGACGCUGAGGCUCGAAAGCGUGGGGAGCAAACAGG
rnacentral:rRNA from 1 species